GAUGAACGCUGGCGGCGUGCCUAAUACAUGCAAGUCGAGCGAACAGACGAGGAGCUUGCUCCUCUGACGUUAGCGGCGGACGGGUGAGUAACACGUGGAUAACCUACCUAUAAGACUGGGAUAACUUCGGGAAACCGGAGCUAAUACCGGAUAAUAUAUUGAACCGCAUGGUUCAAUAGUGAAAGACGGUUUUGCUGUCACUUAUAGAUGGAUCCGCGCCGCAUUAGCUAGUUGGUAAGGUAACGGCUUACCAAGGCAACGAUGCGUAGCCGACCUGAGAGGGUGAUCGGCCACACUGGAACUGAGACACGGUCCAGACUCCUACGGGAGGCAGAAGUAGGGAAUCUUCCGCAAUGGGCGAAAGCCUGACGGAGCAACGCCGCGUGAGUGAUGAAGGUCUUCGGAUCGUAAAACUCUGUUAUUAGGGAAGAACAAAUGUGUAAGUAAAUAUGCACGUCUUGACGGUACCUAAUCAGAAAGCCACGGCUAACUACGUG
rnacentral:rRNA from 1 species